AUGUUGCAAGAUGGUGUUUGGUGCUUGCAUACCUCAGCAACGACACAACUUCCUUGUCGGCCACAGAUACUGAAUCCUCUGCUUGUUGACAAUAAAAUCUACAUGGCGGCCACCCGGAGUGAAUCUCUUGUGUUGGAUUUGACAGCCUCAAGUUUCUCCACAUUUCAGGUCCCACAAGGGUUGGUUAUUGGUUACAAACGAACCAUGUUAUCACGGGCAUAUGAUAAUUCUGGUGUAUAUCUCAUUCAUUUGAACGGGCUUCAGCUUUGCAUCUGGCUGCGCACAGGGGACAACUGGUUGCUGGUGGAUACCAUCUGCUUGCGUGAGAUGUAUGCUAAAUUGAGGAUGCCUGAUCUCACAAAUUGGGUGUGGAUAAAUCAGGUGGGGGUAAAUGCUGAGUUUGUUUUCUUGAAGAUGGGCCGAUGCCUAGUCUAUGUGGGUAUCAAGUGCAGGAAGUUGUGUAAAGUGUAUGAGAUGACAAGCGAGGAUCGAUGGUUGGGUCGUAUCCAUCCUUGUAUGAUGAUCUGGCCUCCCACACUCCAUGCGCUCAAGGAUGGUCCUGCAAGAUGA
rnacentral:rRNA from 1 species